rnacentral:rRNA from 1 species
GAUGAACGCUGGCGGCGUGCCUAAUACAUGCAAGUCGAGCGAACAGACGAGGAGCUUGCUCCUCUGACGUUAGCGGCGGACGGGUGAGUAACACGUGGAUAACCUACUUAUAAGACUGGGAUAACUUCGGGAAACCGGAGCUAAUACCGGAUAAUAUAUUGAACCGCAUGGUUCAAUAGUGAAAGACGGUUUUGCUGUCACUUAUAGAUGGAUUCGCGCCGCAUUAGCUAGUUGGUAAGGUAACGGCUUACCAAGGCAACGAUGCGUAGCCGACCUGAGAGGGUGAUCGGCCACACUGGAACUGAGACACGGUCCAGACUCCUACGGGAGGCAGCAGUAGGGAAUCUUCCGCAAUGGGCGAAAGCCUGACGGAGCAACGCCGCGUGAGUGAUGAAGGUCUUCGGAUCGUAAAACUCUGUUAUUAGGGAAGAACAAAUGUGUAAGUAACUAUGCACGUCUUGACGGUACCUAAUCAGAAAGCCACGGCUAACUACGUG